rnacentral:rRNA from 1 species
UACGGGGGGGGCAAGCGUUGUUCGGAAUUACUGGGCGUAAAGGGCUCGUAGGUGGCCAACUAAGUCAGACGUGAAAUCCCUCGGCUUAACCGGGGAACUGCGUCUGAUACUGGAUGGCUUGAGUUCGGGAGAGGGAUGCGGAAUUCCAGGUGUAGCGGUGAAAUGCGUAGAUAUCUGGAGGAACACCGGUGGCGAAGGCGGCAUCCUGGGCCGGUACUGACGCUGAGGAGCGAAAGCGUGGGGAGCAAACAGG